rnacentral:rRNA from 1 species
GACGAACGCUGGCGGCGUGCUUAACACAUGCAAGUCGAACGGAAAGUCCCUGCUUUUGUGGGGUGCUCGAGUGGCGAACGGGUGAGUAACCCGUGAGUAACCUGCCCUUGACUUUGGGAUAACUUCAGGAAACUGGGGCUCAUCCCGGAUAGGAGCUCCUGCUGCAUGGUGGGGGUUGGAAAGUUUCGGCGGUUGGGGAUGGACUCGCGGCGUAUCAGCUUGUUGGGGGGGUGGUGGCUUACCAAGGCUUUGACGGGUAGCCGGCCUGGGAGGGUGACCGGACACAUUGGGACUGAGAUACGGCCCAGACUCCUACGGGAGGCAGCAGUGGGGAAUAGUGCACAAUGGGCGGAAGCCUGAUGCAGCAACGCCGCGUGCGGGAUGACGGCCUUCGGGUUGUAAACCGCUUUCGCCUGUGACGAAGCGUGAGUGACGGUAAUGGGUAAAGAAGCACCGGCUAACUACGUG